rnacentral:rRNA from 1 species
CUCGUAGGCGGUUUGGUAAGUCGGGUGUGAAAACUCUGGGCUCAACCCAGAGAGGCCACUCGAUACUGCUAUGACUAGAGUACGGUAGGGGAGCGGGGAAUUCAUGGUGUAGCGGUGAAAUGCGCAGAUAUCAUGAGGAACACCAGCGGCGAAGGCGCCGCUCUGGGCCGUAACUGACGCUGAGGAGCGAAAGCAUGGGUAGCAAACAGGAUUAGAUACCCUGGUAGUCC